GGUUGACAGCAUGUUAGGCAGGCGUGAGAAUCCUGGAGAACAUGAAGCAAUGCGUAAAAUGAAGAAUGAAUUCAUGGUAAACUGGGAUGGUUUACGUACAAAGGAUAAGGAACGCGUACUGGUACUUGCUGCAACCAAUAGGCCUUUUGACCUUGAUGAGGCUGUUGUGCGGAGGCUUCCUCGAAGGAAAGUUAUAGAUUUGUGGGUUUUCUUCAUUCAUUCCAUAUGGCUAGUGGAAGAGCGUUUUUAGUGAUGAUUUUGAUGUUUACAUAAUGCAGGUUGAUGGUAAACCUCCCAGAUGCCACAAAUAGAGAGAAAAUUUUACGAGUUAUAUUGGCCAAGGAAGAAUUGGGACCUGGUGUUCAUCUCGAAGCAGUAGCUAAUAUGACUGAAGGGUAUUCAGGAAGUGAUUUGAAGG
rnacentral:lncRNA from 1 species